rnacentral:rRNA from 1 species
AGGGUUUGAUCAUGGCUCAGAAUGAACGCUGGCGGCAGGCCUAAUACAUGCAAGUCGAGGGGCUCAGCAAUGAGCACCGGCGCACGGGUGCGUAACGCGUGGGAACGUACCUCUAGGUGAGGAACAACGUCGGGAAACUGACGCUAAUACCUCAUAAUAUCUCCGGAUCAAAGAUUUAUCGCCUAGGGAUCGGCCCGCGUUGGAUUAGCUAGUUGGUGAGGUAAUGGCUCACCAAGGCUACGAUCCAUAGCUGGUCUGAGAGGAUGAUCAGCCACACUGGGACUGAGACACGGCCCAGACUCCUACGGGAGGCAGCAGUAAGGAAUAUUGGACAAUGGGGGCAACCCUGAUCCAGCCAUGCCGCGUGAGUGAUGAAGGCCUUCGGGUUGUAAAGCUCUUUUAGAUGUGACGAUGAUGACGGUAGCAUCAGAAAAAGCUCCGGCUAACUUCGUGCCAGCAGCCGCGGUAAUACGAAGGGAGCGAGCGUUGUUCGGAAUCACUGGGCUUAAAGCGUACGUAGGCGGAUUUACAAGUCAGGAGUGAAAUCCCAGGGCUUAACCCUGGAAUUGCUUUUGAAACUGUAAGUCUAGAAUCCGAUAGAGGUUGGCGGAACUCCGAGUGUAGAGGUGAAAUUCGCAGAUAUUCGGAAGAACACCAGUGGCGAAGGCGGCCAACUGGAUCGGUAUUGACGCUGAGGUACGAAAGCGUGGGUAGCAAACAGGAUUAGAUACCCUGGUAGUCCACGCUGUAAACGAUGUGUGUUAGACGUUGGAAAUUUAUUUUCAGUGUCGCAGGGAAACCGAUAAACACACCGCCUGGGGAGUACGACCGCAAGGUUAAAACUCAAAUGAAUUGACGGGGACCCGCACAAGUAGUGGAGCAUGUGGUUUAAUUCGAAGAUACGCGCAGAACCUUACCAACACUUGACAUGUUCGUCGCGACUCUAAGAGAUUAGAGUUUUCGGUUCGGCCGGACGAAACACAGGUGCUGCAUGGCUGUCGUCAGCUCGUGUCGUGAGAUGUUGGGUUAAGUCCCGCAACGAGCGCAACCCUCACUUUUAGUUGCCAUCAUUAAGUUGGGCACUCUGAAAGAACUGCCAGUGAUAAGCUGGAGGAAGGUGGGGAUGACGUCAAGUCCUCAUGGCCCUUACGUGUUGGGCUACACACGUGCUACAAUGGUAUCUACAACAGGAAGCAAGACUGCGAAGUUAAGCAAAUCCCUAAAAGAUACCUCAGUUCGGAUUGCACUCUGCAACUCGAGUGCAUGAAGCUGGAAUUACUAGUAAUCGUGGAUCAGCGUGCCACGGUGAAUGCGUUCCCGGGUCUUGUACACACCGCCCGUCACACCAUGGGAGUUGGUUCUACCUUAAGGCAAGGUUUCAAACCCUUGACCACGGUAUAGUCAGCGACUGGGGUGAAGUCGUAACAAGGUAGCCGUA